UUUUUCUCUAUUUUAAGGUAGUACUCCGGUAAAAACCGAUGUAUGUACGUUGAUUGAUAUAACUAAAAGCGGUUUGAGUGGUUAAAUUCCAUUCAAAUCCUGACAUGAGUUAUCGAUUAAGUGUUUUUGGUAUUUAGUGCGACCGUUCUACGGAAACAACCGCAUAUUUAUUCUGUAAAUGUAACAAUGAUGCAAAAUAAACUGGCGUAUCGUAGGUUAAGAUUUCGCCGGAGUUCCUUCAAUGCAGUGCCAGUACUGAACAAUAUCGGAAAGCGAUACUAACUCGUCGAAAAUGAGUCGACUAUGGAAUUACCUAGUCUUUCAAGCAUGGAUGUCUUACUUGAUGGCAGCUGGAUUGUUAGUCUUCACGAGUGGCUUCCUCCUUAAUCGUGUUUCCAGGCCAGAACGGGCUGAAUGUACACAAUGCACAGUCGGCAGUGAUUGCGACACGACAAACAUUUUCCGAGACACAGAACACGCCGCCAAAGUAUGCCUAGAGCGCAAGGCACGGGUUGUGCUCUUGAUCGUUGAUGCCUUAAAGUACGAGUUUGCAGAAUGGCACGAGGAUGAUGUCUCAAUGUCGUCCUACCAUCGCAAUAAAUUGCCUGUAAUUCACGAAUUACUGCAGAAAUAUCCAUCGCAUUCUCGUCUAUACAAAUUUAUAGCUGAUCCACCUACUACAACUAUGCAACGUCUGAAAGGUCUUACAACCGGUUCCUUGCCUACUUUCAUAGAGGUAGGGUCAAAUUUUGCCUCGGAAUAUAUUCAAGAAGAUAAUCUCAUUGACCAAAAUGUUGCCGGAGGCAUUGUUUUUAUGGGAGAUGACACAUGGACCAAUUUAUAUCCAGAUAAGUUUAUGAGACAAUUUCCAUCACCGUCAUUCAAUGUUUGGGAUCUGGACAGUGUAGAUAAAGAUGUUCAGUAUCGCAUUUUCUUCGAAAUGAAAAAGAAAGACUGGUCGCUACUGAUAGCGCAUACCCUUGGAGUUGACCAUUGCGGACAUAAGCAUGGCUCGCAGCAUCCGGAAAUGACAAGAAAGUUAAACGACACAAACACGCUUAUAAAAGAAAUUGUAGCAUCCCUUGAAAAGGAUAUGAUGCUUUUUGUCAUUGGAGAUCACGGUAUGACUGAGAUGGGAGAUCAUGGUGGUGACAGCUUAAAUGAAGUUGAGGCUGCAAUGUUUGUUUAUUCAACAACUCCCUUACUGAAAGGAUUUGAGGUUAAUGACGAUAACAGCGUAAAUCAAAUUGAUCUUGUUCCUACUUUGGCGUCGAUUCUUGGCACACCAAUUCCAUUCUCUAAUUUAGGGUCUGUAAUACUCGAUUGUUUGCCGAAUAAGAUGGAAGAGGCUGUUGAUCAAUUACUGUAUCCAUUGCAGUCUUUGUGGAGAAACAUUGCUCAAACAAAAAAGUACAUACAGAUAUAUUCUGCGAAUACGUACUUGUUUACAAAGGAGCAACUUCAGCAUUUGGAUUACAUAUAUAUUCUUCUCUCGGAACAAGUUAAAUAUGUCGAUAGUUUUGAGAAGUUAGAAGCAUUUGUUCAUGAUACUAAAGAUUAUUUUAAAUUAUUGAAGGACACGUGUUCCGAAGUAUGGGUCCAAUUUGAUUCUGGUCUAAUUUCCAAAGGUUUACUCUUGAUGUUUUGUACAUUGUUUUUCUUUUAUCUCUUCAUCACAGGUAUCCCCGAGAAUCGCAUGUGUGAUAUAUUUAAAUCUUCAUUUUUACAGUGCGCUAUUACUGCGAAUUUAAUUACUGCAGCAAUUACCACGUGUUUGUUCCUGUUGAAUUUUUUGGGAGAGUUAAGAAACACAAUCUUCUUCGCUACUGGUGUAGUCUCGAUUGGUCUAUUGGUCAUAGUGAUUGCUCAAAACUGGGAUGUUAUAUCAAUGUGCUGGUAUGAUCAUCGUAGAAUUAAGCUGUUGACCUAUGUAGCUAGAAUAAUCCUCUUGCUGACGGUAUGUGGACUCUUCUCUAACAGUUAUAUAGUUGAGGAGGACAAAGUUUUAUCUUUUCUGUUUAUUACACUUGUUUGUCUACUCAUAUUUGAUUUAAGAAGGAGUGAUUCUGAUAACAGUUCCGAGAGGAAGACGAGGUUUACUUCGAAACCGUUGAAACCAAAUUUUAGGACAAUUGUAUUCAUUAUCGGUCUAUUGGCAUGUGUCUUGGUGAGGCUAUCGCAUUAUUUCUGGCGUUGUAGGGAAGAGCAUCUGGAACGGGAAUGUUCUACUAUUGCAACUGGUAAAGUUAGCUGGUCCACGAUGCCGAAUAACUGGGAACACGCCCUACUUGCUGUUCUACUCGCUUCAGUCAUCUUGGCGUCAUACGUUGUGAUUGUUAGAGUGUGGUUGCAAAGUUGUGGAAAUCUCACAGGCUUUGCUCCAAGCGUCAUUGUGGGACAGUACUGUCCAGUUAUUGUAAGUGUUUGCAUGGGUUGCUACUGGAUUCUGCAAAAGCUUCCAAAGUUCGUCAAACCGAAAUUUGCAUUGUCCUGGGAAGUCAACACGCUACCUAACGUAGUUUACUUCUUCUGCGUGAUCGCGAUUUUCGUCCUCUAUUAUCGCCCGCUCAGUAUAUAUCUGCUGCCAAAGAAGAAGGAAUCCAUCGAUGUCUACCGUGAUGAAAAUAUAGUGCCUCGGUUAUUUGAGAAGAUAAAAGACUCGAUUUCUCGCAAACGAAUAGAUGCUGACGAGCUCCCGGUAAUUUACGGUUUUGGAACUGCCUACAGUGCUGCAUUUACCUCAUUAAGCGUAUUCUUUACGCUUUUGUACUCGUUACUGCUAGGAGAUACUCUAUCGCCCAGCACCUUCUUGAUGUUUGUAACAUGUAUCUGCGUGCUGGGUUUGUCCGCGAUAGAGAGAUAUAAAAAUGCCAAUAAUAUCUUUGAACUUGUUGAUGUAUCUAUGCCUGUGUUACUCUGCUGGUUUUUACUGGCUGAAUAUUUCUUUUAUGGGACUGGCCAUCAAGCGACAUUUCCUACUAUUCACUGGCAUGCUGCCUUCAUAGGAACUGGUGGACAUUUUUAUGGAAAUUUAAUCUCAGCAAUUCUAAUUGGCAUCAACACAUUCGGAUCGCAUAUUAUAUUGGGUGUAACAUUACCAUUAUUAAUAGUCGUGCCAUUCACAUUGCAUCGGAUGUUUCCCAAGUAUCUCAAAACAAAGUUUCUCGAUGACAUAAAGAGGGGCGAACUUCUUCUGUUCGAACAAGAUUCUGCCUUUCACGCUGCUAUUUUCUCGGUUGCGGGAAAAUACACAUUACUUCACGGAAUUCGGACUUUCGGCAGCAUGCUCGCGGCAACUAUACAUUGUCGACAUCUAAUGGUUUGGAAGAUAUUCGCACCGAAACUGAUAUUCGAGGGAGUAGGAUUCCUGAUAACGUUGGGUAGUGUACUGGCAUCGUUUUACAUGGUGUUUCGCAUCGAUCAACAGAUGGAAUACUUCAUUACCAGAGUCACGAAAGGCAGAUGAUAGUGACUCACUCUUAAAGGUGUAUAGUACAAUCAAUAGUAAAGUACCAAAGUCGUAAGGACACUUGACUUUUGCGGUGAUCCGAAAAUGGCUCGUUACUUACAAAUAUAGAUCGUAUAUCCCUAGAGAUUCGAGACAUUACAAUAUGAAACAAGCAACAUACAAAUCUAUACUUACCACGAUACUGCCAAUAUUUCUACAAUUUUGUAUGAAAGUGUAGCAAGAGAAGGUAUAAACCAAAUCACAGAUAUAUCUAACGAGUAUUAUGUAAACGGCGUUUUUCGUAUCAAACUACAGAAACUUGGUCUCUCCGCUCCUUCGAGAUAUAAUAUUAAUGUUAGCUAUAUUAAUGUUUACCUCAUAUAGAAUGCAAUGUCGCGUAACCAAACUGUGAUGCUUCCUAACACACUAACGCUACCCUGCGUGCAAUGCAUUGCUGAUUGAAGACGAACAAAGCAACGCACUUGAUGCAGGAUUGCGUCCGUGUGCCGCGGUCUGCCUGCACAACUGAUGGGCACAUCGGCGUGUGACUACUAUUAUAAGAGUACGAUUACAUAGAGAAAUAGUCUAGAUACCAUUAGCAUUCAUCUUUCAUAUCCUUCGGGAACAUUUUUAGCAAAUUUUUCGUUCGAGAUCUAAUCUUGUAAACAGACGACGAAAGAAGUACUCUUGCUCUGGAUAAAUGGCCUAAUG
rnacentral:misc_RNA from 1 species